rnacentral:ncRNA from 1 species
GGAAGCCGGUGGGAAUCCGGCGCGGUCGCGCCACUGUAUGCCCCCUCCCCGUUCACUGCCGCGCGCAGAGUACGGGCGGGACGAGUCAGAC